UACGUAGGGAGCAAGCGUUGUUCGGAUUUACUGGGCGUAAAGGGCGCGUAGGCGGCGCGGUAAGUCACUUGUGAAAUCUCUGAGCUUAACUCAGAACGGCCAAGUGAUACUGCAGUGCUAGAGUGCAGAAGGGGCAAUCGGAAUUCUUGGUGUAGCGGUGGAAUGCGCAGAUAUCAGGAGGAACACCGGUGGCGAAGGCGGGUCUCUGGGCCGUAACUGACGCUGAGGAGCGAAAGCAUGGGGAGCGAACAGG
rnacentral:rRNA from 1 species